AACAACAAAGCUAUCCAAUUCUGAACCCCAUCUGAUUGGUUUCUGAGGUGUGUUGCUCGAAACUUCUCUGGAAUACAAUCCUUCAUCCAUCUACUCAUGAGAAACCAGACAAGGUUGGGUCUCCUUCCUCAAUAUGAUCAGGUCCUUUUUAUUGACUCAUAAUUACACCUCCUUUUCAAAAAUAUCAAGCUGAUGUAAAGGCCAGUGACUGAUUGAAGUUAGUGAAAUAAACAACCUCACAAAUGUCAUUUUACUACUGGAGAAAAAGUAUCAACAUAGUUAACGCCAUGUUUGUGCGUAGCCUUUCACUACAAGGUGUACUUUUAUGAGCGACAAAACCAUCAGGAUUAACUUUAAUUGUAACCACCCAUUUGCAACUGAUAUACUUUUUUCGUGCAGGAGAGAAACUAAAUCCCAAGUACAAUUAUCGUCUAAUGUAAUCAUCUCCUCCACCAUUGCAAACACCAACAAGAUGAGAAUAGGCUUAAUGAUACAAACUCUAAUGAUGCAAUGAAAGAACAUGCAGAAGACAACUAAUGGUUAUAUGAAACAGAAGAGGAAAUAAGAUGAGCACACUUAAGUUUACCUUUACGAAGAGCAAUAGGAAGAUCAUCACUCAUUUCUGGAUCCAAUGACGAAGAAGCCUUAGGGGUAGGGCAUGGAAUUGAAGAAGGUUGUCGUCGAUCAUAGACUUCAGUGAUGGGUUGACAAAUAGAAGUAAACACACGUGAAGAUGAACCACAAAGAGGAUUAGAAGGAGAGAUAACAUUGUAGAUAAAGAAAUCAUCCUUUGACUCUUGAUACUCCUCGACUCAUAUUCGAAGAGAAAGAAGGUGAGGAAUAAAAGGAGGAAUGUUCAAAGAACGAGAAUAACCAAAAAGAUAUAUUUUAAGGUCUUUGGAUCCAACUUUGUAUGUUGAGGCCGAACGUCUUGGACAAAUCAAGUAUAACCAAUUAUUUUGGGUGGAAUGAGAAACAAAUGUUGUUUGGGGCAUAAGAUACAAAAAGGUAUCUCACCCUUAAAAAUGGAAGAGGGCAUGCAAUUUGUUAAGAAACGGGCUAUGGAAACAUCAGCCCAAAAGAAAUUGGAAAAUUCAUUUGAAACAUUAGGAACUAGUGGUUUAAAAAGGAUGACGAUUCUUUCAUUUUGCAAACCCACUGACUUCAUGAAAUUAAUAAAUAGAAGUGUGAAAGUAACAUAGACAUGAAUAUAUAAGCUAGAGCAAAGGCAUGACUACUAUACCUGACUACCAUUACAUAGCGCUAAAAGAAAUUGUAAUUUUCUUUUUCAUUCAAUAUGUAAUUUGACGUAAUAGUAAUAGUAAUUCCUCUUUCAAACACCUCUUUUUUUUCAACAAAGAGGACAAGGCUUAUGAUCCCUAAAUCGUUAGCAAUUAAGAUGCAGCAAAUAAGGUAGCUAAGAUGCAGAAAAUAAGAAAACACCCCAAAUCACUACAGUGCAUAAGAAAUCUAUCACAUAAGCACAAAGAUAAAUACUGAGAGUAUUAGUUGAAACUUAGCAAACACAGGGCAAACUAUUAUUUAACGUGCUAGUUUAAAUAUAUAUCUAAACUAAACUACACAAGUAUUUCAAACUGGCAAAACUAAAAUUAGGUUUAUAGAAACAACGUGUCCUCAUCCUUUCUCCUAAGGAAUGCUAUUCAUUAUGAUUUUAUCUUUUGAGUUUUAAAAAUAUGCUAUUUAUUAUUCAUAUCUUUUCUCGUGCUAUCUAGAAGCUAACCAAACAACAUAGAGAAAGUACAUUUGUAUCACUAAUCAAUAUUUGAAAUGAUGACGCAGAUUAAAUAAUACAGAAUUCAGAAAGUAGAACUUGCCUGCUAGCUGACUUCAGCUGCUCCCUGAGUUCCUUGAACUUGAGGUUUCUCAUGUUCUCAACAGUGAAAACAAAACUGAGUUGUAAUUUUCCACACCCUGCCUGAUCGAUUCCACCAUUGAUUUCUUGUGGUCCCUUCCUUUUCUUCUUUGUUUUGAUAAAGUAACUGCAUUUAUCCCACGAACAAUUAGAUAGAAGACUUAAAACACUAAUCUGCAUAGGACUAAGUUCAUAUUUUUCCUCUUUAAAACACUAAUCUGCAUAGGACUAAGUUCAUAUUUUCCUCUUUCUUUUUAAGUUAAAAACCACAUGAGUUUGACAAUGAUUACUACCACCACAAGUCAUUUAACUUCUUCAACUGCCUCAUACUUUUCACAAGAAACUGCAUCAUACAAAUUAACCCAUAAUAAAGCUAUCCAAAUUCCGAACCCCAUCUGAUUGGUUCUGAAAUCAGUAACUCUCAUGGAAGGAAAAACAUUUAUUAAUAAAAAUCAACUUUGUUACUAGUUUCUAAAAACACUCUCAAAUAUGUCUUCCAUAACCUGGUUUAAGUUUUGCAGAAAAAUGACUAAUGGCUGGGAUACUCAUGCCAUGGAGUGGCAAAAAAGAGGCUGAGCUUUGUAUUUGAAGUAUUAUGUUGAUGAAGACAUGUAAAAGGUCUUAUGAACAUUUCAAUUUAACUUUUGUCUCUUGAGUACUGUAGCUUUAGACUGAUGAUUAUUUUCUAGUUUGUCUCUACACGAAAAACCAGUUUGUCCAUUUGUACUUUUAAUUGUCAGCCUUUCAAAGCUUGUCAAUACAUCAUUUUUAAAGAUUUACGUGCACCCCAUGUCAUUAAUCCUUCUAAGCUGAUUUUCUUCGUAAAUAUAUAUUACACUUAACACUUAAAACACACAUAUUUCAAAGAUUUAUUCCAAAACAAAAAUGAGAAUGAAUGAAACUCAAAUCAAAAUGGAGAAAUAAAGAGUGGAGGUGAAAAUAACCAGAAAAUUUACAAUAAUGCUAUGGAGGAAAAGAAGAUAAGUGACUGAAGGAAAUGAGCUCAGGGAAAAGACUCCUAUUGGAGAAGAACUAAGUUCCAUUUUGAAAUUUCAAGAAAGAAACUGAUGGAUCUGAAAUGGGUGUAUGUAUCUCUGUUAGCAACCCAAACUACUGUUUGAACAGAGAUUUUAUUAUACCAAAUGCUUAUGUAAUACUUGGAUGAAGAAGUUGAAGAUUUCAUGAGUAGAGAAAAAAUAUGAGAAAUAUGAAGGAAACAGAAAUGAUGUGGGGGGACACUGAAGAAACAGAUCCAAAAAAAUGCAGUACUAUGAACUGCAAGAACAAGCAAUCUCUUAAGCUAGAAAAAGAAGAAACAUGAAAAACCAAGGAUGUAAUUAUCUAUACCUCAUCUGUAUGACGUAAAUGGUUGGAGAAGAAGGAAGAUGAAGACAAACCCUUCAAGUCCAAAACUUUAGACAGCAUGAUGAUGGAACUGAAAAAGAACAAAUCCCAAAAUAAAGAAAAAAAAACUCAAAGAAGCUCCAUAAAAAGGACGCUAAAAAUUGCAACCCCACUCCUUCAGAAGGCAAUUCAAAAACUUUCCUGGAGCCUACAAAAAUCUACCGGUCGAGCAAAACAUUUCAUGAGUAGAGAAAAAAUAAAAGAAAUCAAAUUACAAAACGAAGAAUCAUUGAUUAAACUAACUUAAACACCACAAUUCAUAUUUUUUUAGGGUUACCCAUUGUGCACCCACCAAAUCAUUCUUAAGAGAUUUAAGUUUAACAGUAAAGACCAGAGAUGGAUCAAACUGUUACACCAUUGUUAAAAAGAAGAAAAGAAGGCCCAUAGAAAGGAAGCUAUUAAGGAAGAUAUUUCCUUGUUGGCAAAGAGCAUUGAAAGGCUGGGUGUGCAGGCUUGGACAGCAACAGCAGCAACAACGAACUUUCAUGAAAUAUACUUAAGGAAUGAUUAAGGGAAAGACAACAUGGGAAGAAGUUCCAGAAGGUUCGUCCAACAAGAAAGAAACUUGAUUGAUGUCAGUGAUUCAUUUGUGAUGGGAGGAAAAUCGGAAGAAAAAUACACCAAGUUGGAAGGAGAAGAAUCUGCAGGGGAUUGAAGCAAAUUCAAGAAAAUUGACAUGCCCGUUUUCGCGGGUAUUGCCCGGAUUCUUGGUUAUUUAGAGCAGAACGUUAUUUUCAGAUACACAAACUUAAUGAGUUAGAGAAGAUGACAGUGACAAUCAUUAGUUUUGAUGGUGCAGCCUUGGAUUGGUAUAGAUCUCAUGAAGACCGUGAACCGUUUGUUAAUUGGGAAGAUUUAAAGAGAAGACUUAUUAUUUGAUUUCGAUCAGACCGUGAGGGAUCAAUAUUGGGCAGAUUUUUAACGAUAAAAUAAGACACUACAGUGGAUAAUACAAAAAAAAUUUUUUGAUAAAUUGGUGGCACCUUUGCCUUUUCUGCAUAAGACAGUUAUAACAGAGACAUUUAUGAAUGGUUUGAAACCUUGGAUUAAGACAGAAUUGGAAUGUUGGGAACCUGUUGGGCUUGCUCAAAUGAUGAAAUUGGCCCAGAAAAUUGAGAACCGAGAGGUGAUAAGGGUGAAUCUGACUUAAAAUGUGCAGGGGAUGAUAAAACCCAGGUUUCUACUGUCUUUAAAUACUCAAUUUCAUGUAGUUUCCAAUGACAAUAAGUCAGAAGGUACUGUUCCAGUAAGGGCUAUCACACUUCGAGGGCUGCAGAAAUUAAUCGACGGGAAGGACCAUCAAGACGACUUUUGUGAUGCUGAGUUUCAAGCCAAACGUGAGAAAGGGCUUUGCUUUUGUUGUGAGGAAAAAUUUUGUGCAGGCCAUAGAUGUAAGGUGAAGGAUCAGAAGGAACUCAGAGUGUUAGUUGUUCAAGCAAAUGGGGAGGAAUUGGAAGUAGUGAAGAGGAUGAUCGUAUAGACAAACUUGAGGUAAAAGCUAUUGAACUUGAUAUAGAACAAAAAAGAACCAGUGAUAGAAUUGUUAUUAACUUCAUGGAACACCGGAUUAAAUGCGAUAUCAAAGUGCUGCUUGAUUAUCACACCACAAUUUUGCUGGUGUGGUGAUUUCAAAUCCCAACUCAACAAUAGUCAAAAAGUUGAUAUAUCCAAAUCAAUUUGAUAUAUCCAAUUCACACAAAACUGUGCAAUUGCUCUAUAUUUUUUAUUAUGCACUUGAACGUGACACCACAUUUUGUUUCUUACUUUUCCAAGACAUCAAAUUGCCAACAACAAAAACAAAAUAUCCUGAAGUUGAUCUUUUGUCUUCUUUAGAUUUUACCAAUUAACAUCUGAGAAACAUUCAAUAUUAGUAUGACUAUAAUCCUUAUAUAAUAAAAUCAUGCCCGAGAGCAGCCUUCAGAUAACACUGAAUCAUUCCAAAGCAGCUGAAUGAUCAACUUUAGGGCAUGACAUACACUGGCUCAUAAUACUCACUAAAUAGGCUAUGUCGAGUCGAUUCGCUGGAAGGUAAUUAAGUUUUCCCUCUAACCUCCUAUAUCUUUGAAGAUCUUUCAACAAUUCUCCAUCUUUUGUGAGCUAUAAGUUAGGCAUCGUUGGGGUACUACAUGGCUUGGCACCUACCUUCCAUGUUUCAGUCAACAAGUCCAUAUUUUCUCUGUGAUAAUAGGCUUGCCUGUUUUUACCUCAAAUUCCUAGGAGGUAUUUCAACAUGCUCAAAUCUUUUAUUUGGAAUUGGCAAUAGAGAAAAGUCUUCAGGGACUGGACAUCUAAAGCAUCAUCACCAACAACCACAAUUGCAUCAACAUAUACUACGAUUAGGAUCACCCCACUCUCGGAUCUUUUAAAAAAGAUUGAAUGAUCUAACGUGCUCUUUUGCAUUCCAAAACUUUCGAUCACCUUAAUAAAUUUUCCAAACCAAGCCUGUGGACUAUGUUUUAGUCCAUCCAAAGAUUUACAAAGGCGACACGCCUUUCCAUUCUUCCCCUGAGCAACAAACCCUAGUGGUUGCUCCAUAUACACCCCUUCUUGAGGAUCACCAUGAAGAAAUGUGUAAGGACCCUAGAUAGAAAAAUAGUGGAUUAUUAGGAGAAAAUGAAAAUGGUUGUUAGUAAGGUCAUAUAGUAAAUAGAUGGUAAGUUGGUUAGUUCUUUUUGUUAUAAAUAGUGGGAGAGGGGUUGGAGAGAGGUGUGAAGAAUUUUGAGAAAGUUUUCCUUGUAAGGGAACCUUAGGAGAGUCUAACCCUCUCAAAAGGCUAGGUUACUUGUUACUUGUUAUUAAGAUCUUCUAAUAUAUAUUUCAUGUUUGGAUGUAUUUUAAGUAUUCUUGAGUUCAUCUUUUCUCCUUGAGGUAAUCCUUGUUAGGUGGGAUCCUAACAAAUUGGUAUCAGAGCCGUAACAUCUUGGGGAUGACACGGGCUUGGAUGCAAAAACAAAUGGAGGAGAGGUUGGAGAAGAAUGAGAAGGACAUUAGGGAACUUAAAGAUGUAACUUUGGAGUUGUCCAAAAGCAUCGAAAGGCUGGCAGAGGAAUUACGAGAAAACAAUGUUAGUUGCCGACGGGAAGAAUCUGCUACGUCGGAGGGAUCGGUGUUGAAAAUGAAAGGAAAGAUGGAAGAAGACUCGACCGCAGUUGAGAGAGGGACUUGGGAGCAAGCACUUAAAUGGGCUGCUAAUUGCAAACUUGAGGUGGAUGAGAGGGGAGAAACUCCAUGGACAUGGGAGCAUAUGCAGAAAUGGAUUGUGGAUUGCAAGGCAAAAAGAAUAGAGAGGAGUGCUAAAACAAUACAUCAAACGCUUUCUGAAGGGCUGCAAAGAGAUAAAGAAAGAGCGGAGAAGAAACUAGAAAAAAUUAAAGUUGAAGAAAAACAAAAAUGGAACAAUGACUUGAAGAUGAAGGAAUCGAAGAACGACCAUGAAAAAGAUGAAGGGAAGAGGAAGCCAAAUCUAACUGUGUAUUCCCAUGGCCGACGACUAAGGGUGGGGUGGUCAGAGACAAACACUUGGUGGAAAUGGAAACACCGAGCAGAGAAGGCGGAAGCAUGGGAAAGGAGGCAAACACUAUGGAUGAGAAGGAAGGCAAAGAAACGAUUGAGGAAGCGAUCAUUGAUACUUGGUGGUAGUGAAGAAAACAAAAAGAAGAAUCAAACAGUACCUAUGUGGAACAAGUCGACCUGGAUACGAUCUGUGAAAAUAGAAGAAACGGCUCAUUGGAGUGGCAACAUUGAGAGGCUGAUCAUAUAUAUAGGCCAAGAUUUUGUUGAGGUACGUUACUUUCCUUGCCUUUCUUUUGUGGCAUGCGAGUUAUAUCAAAGUAGGGAAGGGAUGAGGAAGCUAGGCAAUGAAGAAGAUGAAUAAAGGAAUUUCGAAGGUCAUCGGAGUAAGAUAGAAUGGGUAACGACAAGGAAGAAAAUGGCAAUGGAAUUAGUACAGGGAUCAUAGAGAGGCUGGCGAAUGGAAACAUAUUGGGUUGUGACAGAAAAUCGAGGCGGGGAUGAACAGAAACCGCGGCGGAGGAAAGAUUCUGAGUCGGUCACCGGUGGCCAAAAAAAGAAGAAGAUGGAUUGUCGAAAAGUCCAGUUACAGGAAGAGGAGAUGGAGACAGGGUGCGUUGGAGGUAGUCGACCUAAGGCACAAAGGGAGUUUGUCGGAACGCGGAUAGCAACGAGGCUGCAAGUGAGAUCGGAAAUUGUCGGGAAGAAUGCUUUGAUAUUUGCAGAGGGAGUGAGCAGCUACGGACAAAAAAAAUUCAGAAAGGAGGGGGAAGAUUUCUUGAAGAAAAACGAUUCUUCAACCCACGUGAAGCGUCAGACGUUAAGGCGAAAAAUUAGAGACAAUAGUAGUUAUGAUUUGUUUAGUGGGCUGAAAUUAAAUGAAAAGGGCCAGAUUUUCUCAAAUGGGCUUGGCUUAGGUGGAGAAAUUGGGGAUCAAAUUCCUAAUAAAUGGCCAGGAAAACAAAGUGGAGGCUAGGAGAAGGAUUGGCACAUGCAAACCUCAAUGGUUAAAGUAUAUCACGUGGGAUGGAAAUUAGGGAAAGAAUUUAAUCAAAAGUGGGCCAAAAUGUUGCUUUUUGGGCUGAUUGCAAAAGUAAGGGAUGAGGCCCAUUAUACCUCAAAGAAAAAUAAAUUGACGGCUUUAUCUAAGGAAGUGGAAAUCCUAUUGGAAUAUGGAUGGUGGGCCAAACAUGAGAUGAUAACAAAGAAAUACAGCCUUCAUAAAGAAAGAAAGGAAAUUAAUGUGCUUGAAUUUGCUAAAUUCAUUGAGACCCAUUUGUUAGUGUGGCUGAAAUGUAACUUGAAAAUGGAUAGGAAUUGCCUGAAGCUCAUUGGUAAUUCUAAGAAAGAUGGUGUAUGGGCCGUGAAAUUGAUUUGGGGAUGGGGUCAUAAAGUUAAUUGUGGGCUUAGCCCAUUAGAGAGGAAGAGCUUCAAAUUAAAAUGCAAGUGGCAUGGAAUUAGGCUCAGGGAAUGGCAGUUGGUUAAUUGGGAUCACUUUCCGUGUGAGAAGAAUGAAGAUUGGGGAAGUUCUUGGAGUCUAAAGGGUUGGAUGUAUGCAAGUGUAAUUAUUACAACCCAAUAGAAUUUCAAGGCAAAGCUGAAUAAAAUUUCUUCCGAGAUGGCAGGAGUAUGGUAGUAGAGAGUUCAAGGUUUGUAGUUUGUAAGCACACCUUGAGGACAAGGUGUCUUCGAAGGGCAGAGUAAUGUAAGGACCCUAGAUAGAAAAAUAGUGGAUUAUUAGGAGAAAAUGAAAAUGGUUGUUAGUAAGGUCAUAUAGUAAAUAGAUGGUAAGUUGGUUAGUUCUUUUUGUUAUAAAUAGUGGGAGAGGGGUUGGAGAGGGUGAAGAAUUUUGAGAAAGUUUUCCUUGUAAGGGAACCUUAGGAGAGUCUUAACCCUCUCAAAAGGCUAGGGUUACUUGUUACUUGUUAUUAAGAUCUUCUAAAUAUAUAUUUCAUGUUUGGAUGUUUUUUAAGUAUUCUUGAGUUCAUCUUUUCUUCUUGAGGUAAUCCUUAUUAGGUGGGAUCCUAACAAAAUGCACUUUUAAUAUCAAGCUGAUGUAAAAAAGUUGGAAACAAAUAUUGAACCUCUCCUCUCCUCUCACCCACCCUCUUCUCUCUUCAUUCCGGCCACACCUUCUCACGGUGACGUCGACGGCAACGCCAAACCCGGGGAGUUACAACUCCAUCUUUUUCAGAAAUGGAAGUCAAAAGUUGAAAAAUGGUAGACACUUUCUACUGUAUCUAGUUCGAAAAGGGGAGGUUCAAUAUUGAAGAUGUAGACUUCCAAAAAAUCCUCACUUUAUCCAAGAUCCAAUUAGAGUGGUUCAUUGAUUCAAUAGAUGUUCUUGUAAAAGAACCAAACUGGAAGUUUUUCAACAAAUAUGCGAGUGAUGAAACCGAAACAACAAAGCUAUCCAAAUUCUGAACCCCAUCUGAUUGGUUUCUGAGGUGUGUUGCUCGAAACUUCUCUGGAAUACAAUCCUUCAUCCAUCUACUCAUGAGAAACCAGACAAGGUUGGGUCUCCUUCCUCAACAUGAUCAGGUCCUUUUUAUUGACUCAUAAUUACACCUCCUUUUCAAAAAUAUCAAGCUGAUGUAAAGGCCAGUGACUGAUUGAAGUUAGUGAAAUAAACAACCUCACAAAUGUCAUUUUUACUACUCGAGAAAAAGUAUCAGCAUAGUUAACGCCAUGUUUGUGCGUAGCCUUUCACUACAAGGUGUACUUUUAAUUGAGCGACAAAACCAUCAGGAUUAACUUUAAUUGUAACCACCCAUUUGCAACUGAUAUACUUUUUUCGUGCAGGGAGAGAAACUAAAUCCCAA
rnacentral:lncRNA from 1 species